CCACUUAACUGGCCGGGGAGACCAUGAGCUCAAAGGCCAUUCUCCCAGGACGAGGCUAUCCCAUUGCACUUCAGCUGAUGCCUGCGAUGUCCCUAAAUGUGGGAUAGUCGACUACAAAAUUUGUGGUAGUGGAGGAUUGUGUUGGCACUCUCCCCUG